CGUAGAGCAUGCAGGGGAGAGGCAGGCAGGGCCAGCGUUGUUGGUGAUGCUGUUGGCCUGGCCUGGAAGAUUCAGACUGCAGGAGACACAUGGAAACAGGGCAACCUCUCUCAGCUUCUUCAUGGUCUGUGGAGACUCAGUCUAAUGGAGCAGGGCCAGCCCCUUAUGUCCCAAACGGGACAUGAACAGAACUGAGGCACAACGAGCUACUAUAUCUCAGCACUCGGAGUGUAAGGCCCUUGGUCUUAAACCGACAGAGGAGUAGGAAAUCAUUUCUUGCUAAAGAAUAAUAAAGACCGUAAAUGGCUGUGUGUGUGGAUGGUUCACUAGAAGAAAAGGAUUUCAGGACACAGAACUGUCCGGCUGGGUAAUGAGAAACUAGACCACGUCGGGCUCUCACUUAGAGGGCUGAAGGCCCUGGGAUCCAUUUUCCACCCAGACCGUUCCUCUGCUUGGCUACCAGCCAAGUGGGCCUCUCCAUCUGCUCCCCGUCUCCCUCUUCGACUCCUUCCUGAUCAGUGAACCUGAAGAACAAGAUGCCGGCGUGGGCAAGACCAAACCAGUGUCUUGUCCUUUCAGUUUGUUCUUCAACAGCACCUUCACGUGACCACUGCAGUUAAGCGGACAUAAGCACCAGCCUGAAUACAGCAGAGAAACAUACAUGGAAUUACCUGCAGAAGGCAAAGACCCAGAAGGAAUUUAACGCUCAGGUUUAUGUAUUCCAAAUACGAAGCUGACCCUAUAAAACCGAGGAACCUAUUUCAGCUAACACUUCAGCGAAGCACGACCAAACUGGACAUGUGAAUCCCAACCUAAGACCUCCAUCGGCUUUGUAGACAAUCCUUCAGAGACACAACCUCACCACCUCCUCCCUCCGGAGGAGGAAGCAGCUCAUGAGGACCCCCAGUCCAGGCCCUGGGCUCUCUCUCCAACCCCCAGCUCCGGGGGAGCUAUUCCGUACUGUCAGACUCAAGGACAAGAUUUUUUUUCUUUAAGUCAAACCACAACAGGAGAAAGGGGGUCCCAGGGUAAGAGCGAGUUUCUUUCCAUUGUCCUAUUAACCCCUGGCACGAGUCUCUGAGGGAAAAUUGGCAUUUUCCAGAGGGUUUUAAAAAGGGAAAGAUUUCAACCAAUAGAUGUGGAAGUCAGUGCCCCUGAUAGGAGGCCAACAAUAGACCCCAGGAGACAAACCAGGAGCUGAAGAGGGAUGUGGGAAGGAGAGCCCCCUUUUCAACCAGCUAUGCUCUGCCCCACACAUCGAUCAUCUUCCGUUCCCAAGGGUCAGAGGAAACAGCCGGAGAAUAGUCUUCCAUUUGUAUUUGUCAAACUCCGCUCACUCCCUUGAAGCCAAGGAAAGAGAUUUAAACUACAAGUGUCAGCCAGCUCCUUGUAACUAAACUAGUCAUUUGGUAUUUCGAGAGCAUCUGAGAAGCGUAAUUAUGGAGGAGAGGAGGAGAGGGUCAUUUCUUCAGCUCGCCCACACCUUUCAGAAGCGGUGAUUUUCACCCUGGAAGAGCAGCAUAAGGUCCCCUCCCUAAAUUCCACAAAACCCAGGAGCUGGGCAAGAGGCCACAGCAGGAGGGGAUCAUGGGGAUCUAGCCUUGGCCCCACAUUUUAUAGAGGAAUCUCAGACCAGGGAGGUUAAAAUACUUGCCCAAGAUCACAGAGUGAAUUAAUCCUUAAUCCACGACCUGUGGGGAUGAAGUAAACUGGAGUCGUCAGUCCGAGACAUGCUCCAAGUUUUGUUUUUGUUUUAAAACGGCCUAGCUCACAAAAUGGUUUAUUUCAAACCAAGAAGGCCUUGCUUUGUUUUAAGCCACUUCAAUUAUCAGAGGACAGCAUGUGUUCUGGUGAACUCUGCAGCACUUUGGAACCACAGAAAAUUUACAGCCUAAACGUGAGCAGAUUACGUUCCACAGCAUCUGCCAUAAAGUCAGGCUUCCCAACGCGGCCACACACAGAUUAAAAGCUCGCUACGCAUAAAGAAACGGCAUUUACUUGAGAGGGGGAAAGGCUGCUUCAGCAGCAGCUAGAUCCUGGGACUUGGGAGGACUUGGGGGUAAGUAUCGACCCACCCUGCGGGACAGAGCUUCCUUAACACAGGGUCUAGAUCCAGCUCAACAGUCCCCCAGAACAGAAGUCAGAGCUGUUUUCUUUUUACAAAGCCUUACCCUCUGGAAGGAGUAGGGUGCCUCAUGAAUCAAUGUAACAGCCUGGGAUCCCCUAGGAUAACGGUCUCAGCAUUAGACCUGGAGGCCUUGGAUAGGUCCUCAGCUGGAAAGGCAAUCUCUAGGAUCCCCGAGUAUAAGGAAUGAACACUAAGGCUCAGAGGGGCUCAUUUGCCCACAGUUUCACAGCACAUCAGAAAGGGAUAAGAGAUCCUAGGUUUUUGGGCUAGGGGACAGGAAGGGAUAAAGGACUCGGGCUGAUCUCUCUGGGUGACGCUGCUCCUACAAUCCUUAGAGUUCCCAGACUUGUCACCCCAUCCAGCUGGGAAUAGAUCAGGGUUUCUCAAUCUCGGCAAUAUUGACAUUUUGGGCUGGAUAAUUUUCAUGUGGGGGGCUGUCCUGUGCCUUGUCAAUGGUUAGCAGUAUUCCUGGCCUCUACCUACUGCAAAGGCAUCCCCAGUUGUAUCAAUGAAAAGUAUCUCCAGACGUUGCCGAAUGUCACCUGUGGUGGGGGGGGAGGGGACACAUGGUACAACAUCAUCCCAGCUGAGAACCACUGGAAUAGAUAAGUGAGUUUCAGGGUGCAGUCCCCACACUGUCCUCCCAAACAUGCCUCAUCCCUUACCCCCCAGGUAAGAGCUGGGCCACUCAGCAAGUUUCCUGUUGGAGCCAGACUUGAGGGAAACUGAGGCCAGCCACAGCAGCCUAGUUCUGGAGAAAGCAGCUUAGCACCAAUACCCUCUCCAGCGUGGCCCCUAGCCCAGGCCACUGACAGCUGUUGGGUCUUAGAGAGUUCACAAAAAUCAGGGCAUCUGUGGAGCUCCCCCCUUAGAAGCCAGAGGACCAUAUCCGGGGCAGGGUGAUAGGACAUCUAAUUAGAAGGAAGGGCAUACAGUGGUCACAUUUGAAGGAAGGGCAUACAGUGGUCACAUCACUACACGAAAAGAUGGUUUCCUAUAAAGGCCUCUUAGAGAGCUGGGCCAUGGCCAGCAGUGCUGGGAAAUUUUCAGGGGUGUCAGCAGAAGCUUAAUACUGAUUAAACACCUACUAUGUGCCAGGCACUCGGCUAAGCACUUUAUGCAUAUCCCUACCUCGAGGAUGGUUCCACCAUCGCUCAUUGCAUAGAAAAGGAAACUGAGGCAGCAGCUAACUAACUUGCUUGAGGCUUGCUUGAGGCGGCCCGUUGUCCUCGCGUGAGAGGACGCCCAAGCUCUGCUUCACGACGGCGCCUCAUGAGGCUCUGGCCCCAGAUCGCAAGACCCACCGAGGCAGGGGAAAGACGGCGGGGCUCGAGGCGGCAGCAGCUUCGGUCUUUGCUGAGCAGCCACGCGCCAAGUGCCACGGGCAAGUCAGCCCCGCGCCCGAGCUGGUGCUGGGGGGGAAGGGCCGGCGCCAGCUGGAACAGAACUUGAGAACACAUUAGCAGAGUCUCACUUCCCAGGAGAGCACGACUCCGCCCGCGCUGAACAGACUUCGUUGGCAGCGAGUAGUACUCGCCAGAGUCCCUGUGUCACUUAGAGAAGCCAUUUGUUUCCCAACGGCCACCAGGAAGGAGGCAGCUGUCCUGCAGCAGGAGUCUCUGGUGCUGCCGGAACCUCUUGCCAGGGGCCACACGGCCUUCCAGCCCGACACGCGGGGCAAAGGCUCCUUGGCUCCGGCUGCUCUCUCCCAACGUCCUGGGAAGUGCCCGGAGGCCUUGGGGCCGGCCACUCGGACUCAGGAGUCGGAGCUGCUGGAGCAGCAAAUCGGAAAGAUCAAGCACUCGACUUUGGGUGGGCAAUGCUGCGAAGCAGGACAGGCCUCCGGGGCCCCAAACUCCUCAGCAAUCCCUGCUCAGGCCAGUCUCAGGCCACAGGCAGGCAGCAGUGUCCUCCCUCCCCAGGACUGACGCACAGCACUGACGUGGGACCGUGCGGCUAGCAUGCCUCAGAUUGAACGGGACUUCAUCGCUUUUCUAAAUCCCACAAUCCAGCAGUCUAAGGAAAUGCCCGGAAUAAACCUGAUAUAACCCCCAAUGCACGGAUUUUCCCUGUGGGGAACAUCUUUCUUUUUCUGACAGGUGACCUCAGGCCCCGGCCGGCAUGGGAAUUAGAAUGCACUCUACCAGGCCAGAAGGAUCGGCUUGUGGUUAAAGGGUGAGCGUGUUAAUUCUGGGCAACCUGCUCAGUGACGAGAGCCAGAGGAACGCACAUUAGUCUCUCCCUGCAGACAGCAUCUUACUUGAAGUCAUGGAGUUUCGCCUUGCGUCACAGCCCCACAGACACAGAAGGGUCGGACACUGUCUUCAGGGGUCGUAUCCACAGUGCUGGGCACGGGCUGCCCUUUCCAGCUGCUGGAAGGUUGCUCACAAAUGACAAGGGCAGAACAGGGAUCUGUCCAACUCAAACGACUUGUAGGGUAAUGAACAGCAACCCUCCCGGCCCCAGCAAGGCAGUGAGCUUGGAGAGAGGUUUAAAGUACAGCUGAAGAGCCAAGCAAGCUCAAGGUCGGUAUAGAAGAACCAAGAGCCCUCUCACCUCUCCAACUGGGCAGUUUGUCUUUCUGGCCCAGGGCCCAACAGAAGUCUCUGGCAAGGGCAAGUCUGCACUUUCCUCUGGGACAGAAGAAAGUACAGGAGAGGAUUUCCAGCUGGCACUCUAGAAAACUCAGCAGCAGCCGGCCCCCUGGUUCUUGGCAUCCAUUGAUUUCUAGAAUGUUUGCUUAUUAUUGGUGGACUCCACUCUGAGUGUUCAGUAGGCAGGAAUCUCUCCAGAAGCAAGCUUCCCUCCCUAACUCUUUCUGUGAUCAUUAGUGCCUUUCUCCCUUUCUCCUACGCCAAUCCCCUCCAGUUCUCUUUGAGGGGUUCUCAUUUACUAGACAAACAAGUUGAAAAAUAAGUUUAGAAAUAAGCUUGGAUAAGAGCAAUAAAGCCUCCCUUGAGCCUUUGCCAUUAGAACUGAUUUGAGAUAGGAGAGCCAGAUAUUCCAGGUGAGAAUUACAGGGUUUGGGAUUAGAGAGACAACCAAGUCUCCUUUGGUUUUCUUCUGUAAGAACUAAAUUGGUAUUUAUUGGCACGAGCCAAGAGCAAAAAAGGGCAGCCGGCUCUCCUCUAAGGUAUUUACACAUUCAAGUGUGGCAGAUUUACCAGAGUCGAAAAUGGCAGAAAAAGAAUUCAGAACUUUGUAUGUCAGAGAUAAGUUCUAUAUUGUCCCAAACAGAGUUUUCUACCGUUAAAAAACCCUGCCCCUUGCUGGAGGGGAGAUGUGAUUAGGUCACAGAGCCAAGCAGGCAAUGUCUGACCUGGUCUCUCUAGGGGGAGGUCACAAGCUCCCAACACAAGUCCCAAUAUAAGCUCAUAACAAACUCAGAAGCAUCCACAGCAGCCUGGAGCAGUGGUUGCCUGCAGAGGCGGACGGGUUUCUUAGAGGCCCCAGCAUGGUGAGCUCUGGGCACUGACUUGGUAACAACAGGGCUUCUGGUUGGGAUCCCCCUCAGCUCUUGGUCAGACUUACAUAUGAUCAACAAGGUCACAGUCAGCAAUGAGCCAAGUGACUCCUCACCUAUCCCUUGACAGCAGGAGAAAUAAAUGUUGGGUAAGAAAACGAUGCUGAUGGGGCGCCUGGGUGGCGCAGUCGGUUAAGCGUCCGACUUC